UCUGGCGGCAGUAGCGCGGUGGUCCCACCUGACCCCAUGCCGAACUCAGAAGUGAAACGCCGUAGCGCCGAUGGUAGUGUGGGGUCUCCCCAUGCGAGAGU
rnacentral:rRNA from 4 species